rnacentral:rRNA from 1 species
UACCAGCACCCCGAGUUGUCGGGACGAUUAUUGGGCCUAAAGCAUCCGUAGCCGGUUCUACAAGUCUUCCGUUAAAUCCACCUGCUUAACAGAUGGGCUGCGGAAGAUACUAUAGAGCUAGGAGGCGGGAGAGGCAAGCGGUACUCGAUGGGUAGGGGUAAAAUCCGUUGAUCCAUUGAAGACCACCAGUGGCGAAGGCGGCUUGCCAGAACGCGCUCGACGGUGAGGGAUGAAAGCUGGGGGAGCAAACCGG